GUGGCGUUGUGAGUGUACCCGAAGAAAAAGCAUCGGCUAACUCCGUGCCAGCAGCCGCGGUAAUACGGAGGAUGCGAGCGUUAUCCGGAUUUAUGGGUUUAAAGGGUGCGUAGGCGGUCCGGAAAGUCAGCGGUAAAAGCCCGGGGCUCAACCCCGGCGAGCCGUUGAAACUGUCGGACUAGAGACGGCGAGAAGUACGCGGAAUGCGCGGUGUAGCGGUGAAAUGCAUAGAUAUCGCGCAGAACUCCGAUUGCGAAGGCAGCGUACCGGCGCCGGACUGACGCUGAGGCACGAAAGCGUGGGUAUCGAACAGGAUUAGAUACCCCCUGGUAGUCCACGCAGUAAACGAUGAAUGCCGGCUGUCCGGUCCGAGUGAGGGCUGGGUGGCGAAGCGAAAGCGAUAAGCAUUCCACCUGGGGAGUACGCCGGCAACGGUG
rnacentral:rRNA from 1 species